ACGCAAUAUAGGAAUAUAGCUGCAGUGAGGAAUGGUAAGGAAAUAGAAGUCGAGCAUGAACUGGCAAAAAGAAAGAUAGGUCUACAGCUGCAUAAUUAUAGAUAUAGACUACUCAAAAUAAGCCUGGAUCUACAAUAAAUAUAAUAAACCUCAAGCUAUAAAAAGUUAAUCAAUCUCAGUCAAAUGUGAAGAGAAUAAUCAUUGCGAUUAUUGCGACUGUCCACAUAAAUCUGCCCAGCAGAAAUAGCUGUUCGCUUGCCACACUGGUCGCCAGAGCUGAUAACAAUUUUGUUGCAAUCUUUUGUGAUUAGAGACAAUCUUUAUUCUUUUUUUGUAAAAUGUGAACGUAUUUGUACAGAA